CUAGCAUAUCAAUAAGCGGAGGAAAAGAAACCAACAGGGAUUGCCCUAGUAACGGCGAGUGAAGCGGCAACAGCUCAAAUUUGAAAUCUGGCUCCGCUCUGGGGUCCGAGUUGUACUUUGCAGAGGGCGCUUUGGCGUCGGCAGCAGUCUAAGUUCCUUGGAACAGGACGUCACAGAGGGUGAGAAUCCCGUACGUGGCUGCGUGCCUUCGCCGUGUAAAGCCCCUUCGACGAGUCGUGUUGUUUGGGAAUGCAGCACUAAAUGGGAGGUAAAUUUCUUCUAAAGCUAAAUACUGGCCAGAGACCGAUAGCGCACAAGUAGAGUGAUCGAAAGAUGAAAAGCACUUUGGAAAGAGAGUCAAAUAGCACGUGAAAUUGUUGAAAGGGAAGCGCUUGCAGCCAGACUUGCCUGCGGUUGCUCAUCCGGGCUCUUGCCCGGUGCACUCUUCCGCAGGCAGGCCAGCAUCAGUUUGGGCGACUGGAGAAAGGCCUCUGUCAUGUAUCUUCCUUCGGGAUGACCUUAUAGGGGAGGCGUAAUGCAGCCAGUCCGAACUGAGGUCCGCGCAUCUGCUAGGAUGCUGGCGUAAUGGCUGUAAGCGGCCCGUCUUGAAACACGGACCAAGGAGUCUAACAUCUAUGCGAGUGUUUGGGUGUCAAGCCCGAGCGCGCAAUGAAAGUGAACGGAGGUGGGAACCCUCGGGUGCACCAUCGACCGAUCCUGAUGUCUUCGGAUGGAUUUGAGUAAGAGCAUAGCUGUUGGGACCCGAAAGAUGGUGAACUAUGCUUGAAUAGGGUGAAGCCAGAGGAAACUCUGGUGGAGGCUCGCAGCGGUUCUGACGUGCAAAUCGAUCGUCAAAUUUGGGCAUAGGGGCGAAAGACUAAUCGAACUAUCUAGUAGCUGGUUCCUGCC
rnacentral:rRNA from 1 species